CUACGUGCCAGCAGCCGCGGUAAUACGUAGGGCGCGAGCGUUGUCCGGAAUUAUUGGGCGUAAAGAGCUUGUAGGCGGUUUGUCGCGUCUGCUGUGAAAGGCCGGGGCUUAACCCCGUGUAUUGCAGUGGGUACGGGCAGACUAGAGUGCAGUAGGGGAGACUGGAAUUCCUGGUGUAGCGGUGGAAUGCGCAGAUAUCAGGAGGAACACCGAUGGCGAAGGCAGGUCUCUGGGCUGUAACUGACGCUGAGAAGCGAAAGCAUGGGGAGCGAACAGGAUUAGAUACCCUGGUAGUCCAUGCCGUAAACGUUGGGCACUAGGUGUGGGGGACAUUCCACGUUUUCCGCGCCGUAGCUAACGCAUUAAGUGCCCCGCCUGGGGAGUACGACCGCAAGGUUGAAACUCAAAGGAAUUGACGGGGGCCCGCACAAGCGGUGGAGUAUGUGGUUUAAUUCGACGCAACGCGAAGAACCUUACCAGGUCUUGACAU
rnacentral:rRNA from 1 species